rnacentral:rRNA from 1 species
GAGCUUGGCGGUGUUUUAGACCUCUCAGGGGAACCUGUCUCAUAAUCGAUAAUCCACGUUAAACCUGACCUUUGAUAGCAAUUCAGCUUGUAUACCGUUGUCGUCAGGUAACUUCUUAAAAUAUAGUAGUUAGCUUGAGAAUUUUAUUAAUUAAAACGUCAAAUCAAGGUGCAGCUAAUAAAAAGGUGAAGAUGGGUUACAAUUACAUAUUUGUAAAUACGGAAAACAUUUGAAAGAAUGUUUUAAAGGAGGACUUGAAAGUAAUUUUGAUUCUAUAAACAAAAUGAAUGAGGCUCUGAAGCGUGCACACAUCGCCCGUCGCUCUCGUUGAAAAAUGAGAUAAGUCGUAACAUAGUAGGGGUAAUGGAAAUUGUUCCUAGAU